GGAAACAUCACGCUUCUUGUGAGUAGGAUCUGUGACUGUCUGACUCUCCGCAGCACUUCUCCAGAGCCUGCCAUGUAGAAGGUGCUCAGUGAAUACUGGUUGAGUGAAUAAACAAGAAAAACCCUGAAGACCAGGAGAACAUGGUUAUUUUAUAAAACGUCACAAAAGGCAAGGGGAAAACAAACAGUGGAGAAGCGGGAGCAGCUAAUCUGUGAUCUUGAUGGAGAAGAGGUGCUGCGUAAGGAUGAUUGGCACAUGGAUGGCUUGGAUGAAGGGAGCCCCCUGAUCUUUAACUUGCAGGUCACAUGGAGAAAACUUUGCAAAAACGCUCCAACAUGGAGAUGUCAACUUGAGUGACAGCCCUGUGCGAGGUGCCUUGCUCCGGCUGCCUUCUUUACAUGCAUGGCUUCACAGAAAUGAUGACUGCCAUUUGAACAGAAAGACAUCCUUCCCAACCGGGGUCAGGAAACUGACAGGGCCCACCCAUUAAUAGAAAUAACUGUCAUUUAAAAUAAAAUGCUUGGUGGAAAACUUCAGAAAUCUAUUAGAUAACAUGGGGCCUGUGAUCAGGGCACCCAUGAAUCACCGUAGAGGAUGCUGGUGCUCAGAUAUGGCGCAAUGAAUGGGCAACAGUCACAUCCCCAGCAGUCGAUGCAGCCAGCCAUAUGGCUCCCUCAUGCAGAACACGCCGGCGCCUUCUCCUGAUUUACAGCCCCUACAUCUUAAUCAGGAGCUUUCCUUGUGGGACAACGCAGGAGGGGAUCUGCAUGAAAGGAUGAAUGACAACAUAGUUUAUGAUUUGAAAACUUCUUACAGCAAAAACUUUUUUGGUGCUUGGAGUUGUUUGGAGAAGAUUCUUUCCUGUCAAAAUAACCAAGCCAGUCAUGCUCACUCCUAAGAGUGAGCUCAAAGCUCAGGACCUCCUCUGAUCUUCCAUGAUGUCUUAUUUUUUGACCAAAUAAAAUAUUGCAUA